rnacentral:rRNA from 1 species
UAUGAACGCUAGCGGCAGGCUUAAUACAUGCAAGUCGAGGGACAGCACAGGUAGCAAUACUGGGUGGUAACCGGCAAACGGGUGCGGAACACGUACACAACCUUCCUUUAAGUGGGGGAUAGCCCAGAGAAAUUUGGAUUAAUACCCCGUAAUAUAGUUGAAUGGCAUCAUUUGAUUAUUAUAGCUACGGCGCUUAAUGAUGGGUGUGCGGCUGAUUAGAUAGUUGGCGGGGUAACGGCCCACCAAGUCUACGAUCAGUAGCUGAUGUGAGAGCAUGCUCAGCCACACGGGCACUGAGAAACGGGCCCGACUCCUACGGGAGGCAGCAGUAAGGAAUAUUGGUCAAUGGACGCAAGUCUGAACCAGCCAUGCCGCGUGAAGGAUUAAGGUCCUCUGGAUUGUAAACUUCUUUUAUUUGGGACGAAAAAGGGCCUUUCUAGGUCAACUGACGGUACCAGAUGAAUAAGCACCGGCUAACUCCGUGCCAGCCGCCGCAGUAAAAC